rnacentral:rRNA from 1 species
CGUAGGGGGCAAGCGUUGUCCGGAAUCAUUGGGCGUAAAGAGCUCGUAGGCGGCUCGUCGCGUCGACCGUGAAAACCCGCAGCUUAACUGCGGGCUUGCGGUUGAUACGGGCGGGCUAGAGUUCGGUAGGGGAGACUGGAAUUCCUGGUGUAGCGGUGAAAUGCGCAGAUAUCAGGAGGAACACCGGUGGCGAAGGCGGGUCUCUGGGCCGAUACUGACGCUGAGGAACGAAAGCGUGGGGAGCGAACAGG